UUUCCCAGUCCUCUUUGUUGCGUAUUUUAACCCAGGUCCUUAGAUUUUCCGUAACUUAACGACACAGUUUAUUCAGUUCCCAGAUAAUGACAGCGAAUGGAGAGAGACCAAUUGUUUUUUUGUUUUUUUUUAAGAAAAACAUGUUUCCACAAUGUUCUGGAUACGAUCGAUUGCACUCAUGUGGCACUCGCACUGCCAAGGCAUAUGGAGGAAUGUUUUCGAAACCAAAAACUGUUCCAUUCAGAUGGUGUGUGAUGCCAAUAUGAAAAUCACCAAUCUCUGGCUGGGCUUUCCUGGCUGUUGGGUGAGUAUUGUUUUUUGUUUUUUUUAAACGUUUGUUUAACUCAUUUUUUGACUUAAUAUUUUAGGUAAUGGGGGUUAUUCUGACAAGAAUUGGCUUCUUACCCCAUUGUCCAAUCCCGAAAGUGAUGCUGAGAAAUUAUACCAAACAGUGCACAUUGCAUUGAGGGAGGUAAUUGAAAGGACCUUCGGUGUCCUCAAAACCCGCUUUCACUGACAGGUCCGGGGGUUCGCUGUUAUAUGCACCAGAAAAGGUUUGUGACAUAGUAAAAGCUUGCUGGAUUUUACAUAACAUCUGUGUUGCAAACCAAUUUCUGGAGUAUAUACUGUAGAUCCAGGUGUCUGGCCGGAUUUGGAAAUUUGCUCAGCACCGCCGGAGGGAAGGAAUGAAGGAGGGAGGGAAGGAAUGAAGGAGGAGAUGCACGCCGUUCAUUCAUCAAUGGAUUCUUCACUGGUGAGUAAAGUGAUUUUUUUUUUCUUUUUGGUCAAAAAAAUUAUAAUUUAUUUCUAUCCUUGCAGAAGAAUCCAGAUGAACUUGCCUAUGUUUGGGUCCUGUUGACUUUCCUUUCGUUGGUUGUUGUCCCAUAAAGCUGAUUUUUUUUUUUUUAUUGUACUAGUUGCUGAAUUAAAAAAAAAAAAUACAGUUAGUUACAGUUCUAACGUUUUUGCGCUACUCUACACACACAAGAUGGCCUUUCCAGACUCAAAACCAGACAUAUCAAUGAUAUUAGUUGACCAAGACACCCAUGCAGCAAGACCCACCUGGACUGAUGGCCUGUCCGUUUGCACCUAAAGCGGAUGCAGUUUGAGCAGAAUGUAUCCGCUACUUUACCAGUGGAAGGCAUUUCCCCUCUCCCUGUACGUGCCUAUACUGGACACCUGCCUGUGACCUGUGGAGCAAGAACCACCUGGACUGAUGGUCUCUCCAUUUGCAGCGGAAGCUGAUGCAGUUUGAGCAGGAUGUCAGCUUGGAAUGUAUGCACUUUUUGGCUGUCCUCCUGGAAGCCCUUCCCCGACCUGCAAAGCAACUAUUCUGGACACUGGCUGAAUGUUAAGAAAAGGCAUCCUGUCAACCCGUCCUACCUGGCUGCUAAUUACUCUGACUUUUCCAAAAGUUUAUCCUCCAGAACUUUCAAAAACAAUACCAAAAAAUGUAUGACAAAUUUGUAAAGCAUGUCAUAUUUAUUUAUACAUCUACUUUUUUCUAAAGUAUUUGCUUUCAAUAU